rnacentral:rRNA from 1 species
AAAACCUAAAGGCGCAUUGAAAGAGAAGAUCGACCUCGCGUCGAUCGAGGGAGGAUGGGCGACGUUUUUUGCGUCGCUCCGCACUCCCGGGGCGUCUCGUUGUCAUUGCGACAUGAGGCGCACCUAGAGCGUACACGUUGGGACCCGAAAGAUGGUGAACUAUGCCUGGUCAGGAUGAAGUCAGGGGAAACUCUGAUGGAGGUCCGUAGCGAUUCUGACGUGCAAAUCGAUCGUCGGAACUGGGUAU